rnacentral:rRNA from 1 species
CGCUGGCGGCAGGCCUAACACAUGCAAGUCGGGCGGUAACAGGGAUAGCUUGCUAUCUGCUGACGAGCGGCGGACGGGUGAGUAAUGCAUAGGAAUCUGCCUGAUAGUGGGGGAUAGCCCAGAGAAAUUUGGAUUAAUACCGCAUACGCCCUACGGGGGAAAGCUGGGGACCUGUUUCUUUUAUAAGGAGUGGGCCUAGCGCUAUCAGAUGAGCCUAUGUCGGAUUAGCUUGUUGGUGAGGUAACGGCUCACCAAGGCGACGAUCCGUAGCUGGUCUGAGAGGAUGAUCAGCCACACUGGGACUGAGACACGGCCCAGACUCCUACGGGAGGCAGCAGUGGGGAAUAUUGGACAAUGGGCGCAAGCCUGAUUCAGCCAUGCCGCGUGUGUGAAGAAGGCCUUCGGGUUGUAAAGCACUUUCAGCGAGGAGGAAAGGGGUGUUGCUAAUAUCAACGCCCUGUGACGUUACUCGCAGAAGAAGCACCGGCUAACUCCGUGCCAGCAGCCGCGGUAAU